UCGGUAAAACUCGUGCCAGCCACCGCGGUUAUACGAGAGACCCCAGUUGAUAUAUACGGCGUAAAGAGUGGUUAGGAGAAUAGAAAAAUAAAGUCAAAUGACCUCUAAGCCGUUGUACGCAUUACGAGAACAUGAAGCCCUCCCACGAAAGUAACUUUACCACCUCCGACCCCACGAAAGCUAAGAAACAAACUGGGAUUAGAUACCCCACUAUGA
rnacentral:rRNA from 1 species